rnacentral:rRNA from 1 species
GACGAACCGUCCAAACGUUAUUCGGAAUUACUGGGCUUAAAGGGUGCGUAGGCGGCUUGUUGCGUCGUCCGUGAAAACCCGGGGCUCAACUCCGGGCUUGCGGGCGAUACGGGCAGGCUAGAGUUCGGUAGGGGAGACUGGAAUUCCGGGUGGAGUGGUGAAAUGCGUAGAUAUCCGGAGGAACACCAAUGGCGAAGGCAGUGUCCUGGGAAGUACCUGACGCUCAGGUGCGAAAGCUAGGGGAGCGAACAGG